UGGCAGCUUUGGUUUUGCUUUAUGGGUGGUCUUUGUUCUUCAAGACUCAUAUGAAUACCACAUAUUAGCUGAGCUGGUUCUCCCUUGAUGUCUGUGUUGUAUUGUACACAUGUUGUCACUGUUUGACACUUAAACAAUCCAGAUUCUUACCCAGCCCAUAUUUAGUGCCAUAAUAAACUUCGGAGCAUAUGUUUUUGAGAGCAACAGUAACAUUCAUCACUGCAAUGUGACAUAAAAAUAAGCACUACUGGAGAGCCGGCGUGCCUUCAGAGGGCAGAGCUGGACUGGAAGGUGAAGGGAUGUGGUCAUCAUCUGUGCUGCUCUUACUGGGCUCUUUUCUUCCUCGCCUUGUCUCAGUAAAUCAAAGCAGUUGUUGAAGUGACCUCCAAAAUUCACCCCGUACAUGUGAAAAACACACACUGUUACAAAACUUUUUUAGUGAAACAUUUCCUGUUUGGGGCUUUGGCUUGACAAACCAGAGAUGCAUAAACCAUCGCUCCUCUCUUCAUCUCUCUCAUUCUCUCUUUCAGCAGGGAGUUCCUCUGGGGCCCAGUCCGAAGCACCGGUCUGGCAGCUGCGCCGCACCAAUGCCUCCCGCUCCCUAUUGAUGUCACUUGGAGAUCUGAUUGUCAACAUCACAAAAACAGCACCAGGAAAAGCCACAAGAUACUGCAUAAAGCCCAGAACGACUGAAAGUUGGAGGACUUCUUUUCAGGAGACAAAUUUUCACUGGUUUAUCAGCCUCUGCUUUUAUGGAUCUUUUAUGGAUAUAAGGACAAGUUCAGCUUCCUUCUCCGUUUAGCUGACAUAAUUUACAGUCGGAUGCACCAUAGACGGACGGAACGCCGAAAUAUUGCAGCUGCAGACGGAGCGAAGGGCCGCGAUCAGCGCAGCGUGAGCUCCCCCUGCCCGCCGCUGCGGGAGGAGCUGCGGUUCCCCAUUUUCAUCUCGCCCCCUACAGCCCGUGAACGAAACGCACACCAGGUAUUUAAGGCUUCGACCUGUUUCGCUCCAAUAAUAAAAGAAUUGUAUGAAAAUGAUAUCA
rnacentral:lncRNA from 1 species